rnacentral:rRNA from 2 species
CAUGUCCUUUUGAAUUUAAUUUAAGGUCUAAUCUGCUCAAUGAUGAUUAAAUAGCCGCAGUAUUUUAACUGUGCAAAGGUAGCAUAAUAAUUAGUUUCUUGAUUAGGAACUGGUAUGAAUGAUUGGACGAGAAAAUUGCUGUCUCAUUUUUAAAUUUUUUGAAUUUUAUUUUUAAGUGAAAAAGCUUAAAUUUUUAUAAAAGACGAGAAGACCCUAUAGAGUUUAAUAUUAUUUUACAAUUUGAAUAUAGAAUUAAUUUUUGUAAAAUUUUAUUUGGUUGGGGUGAUUUAAAGAUUAAUUAAAUUCUUUAAUUUAUUAAUUGGUGAUGUCUAAAUUUUAAAUCUAUAUUUUAUAAAUAUAAAAUAAAUUACCUUAGGGAUAACAGCGUAAUUUUUCUUAAAAGUUCAUAUUAAAAGAAAAGUUUGCGACCUCGAUGUUGGAUUAAAAUUAAUUUUUGGUGCAAUAACUUAAAAAUUAGGUCUGUUCGACCUUUAAAAUUUUACAUGAUCUGAGUUUAAACCGGUGUGAGCCAGGUUGGAUUCUAUCUUUAGAAUGUUAAUAUAUUUUAGUACGAAAGGACCAAGUAUAUAUUAAAUUAAUU